CUGGUGUCAGGGGUUACCAUGACAUUUGCAUCAUAUGUAUGGAUUGCAUUUAUUGUUUGUGCUUGCUGCAUUUUGGAUGUUGCAUUUUUGUGGUUGCAUAUGAUUGACAUGCAUACAGGAGACAUGAUGUAUUUGGUUUGAUGACCCUGCAUCUGUUGGCGUGGUUCCCACCCUUAUAUCAGGAUGGGAGGCCCUGAUUAACACAUAAAUAUGUCGUGUCGCUUGGAGUAUCCUGUCUACCGAUCUCACGUCACAUCAGAAGAUGAUUUACCUCGCUUUUGAUUUCUUUUAUAUAUUCUUUAUUGAUUUAGCAUUGUAUUGGUGUUUAGCCAUGUGACUAUUUCGUUGUUUUGGUGUUGUAUUUGUAUUUAAGUCGUGUCGGUACGUAUUGUGUUGUUUUGGUUUGUAUGCGCUUUUCUUUUGUUUUUUUUUCUAUUGUGUUUUGGUAUAACCGAGUGGGCUGUUUAAUAUAUAACUGCGUGGUUGUGUUUUUAGUACAGCUGUGUGGGCUGUUUAUUAUAUAUAACUGCGUGGUUGUAUAUA